GCUGGCCCAGGAUGCAGGGGUUCUGAGAGAGAAGGCUGUGACUGCUGCCAAAUGAAGCCCGGCUUCAUAGAAAAUGAAACGCACAAAUACCAGAGGAAAAAGGAACAAACAAACAAAAGGAUUUGCUGGAUCCUUCCAACAAACACCAAAGAGGAGAGUUAAGCUGUUUCAUCUGUGAAAUGUGGAGAAGGAUUUCUGAUGAUGCUCACCUCAGAGAAGACUUGGGAAGCCAGAUAGAGGACUCCUGCAGGUAUUACAGAAAUUCAGAGGACUGCCAUCAUUUUAAUUCUAUUAUGUCUGAUAACACCACGAUUCCUGAAGGUACACAGAAAAGCCACAAAAUGAUUGGUACGGUUGCCACUGAUUCAGGUGAGAUAAGAACUUGCAAGGUGUUAAAUUGUUGUGAACCCUAAAUCCAGUCUCUGGAUUGAAGCCACUCAUAAGUAGCAUUGCAUCUAGUCAUGAUUACUCAACGGGGCUCUUAGGUACAAGACAAAGGAGAUUCAUGGAAUAUUUGA